AUAUAUAUAGAUAGCAUCUCUCCACGUUCCCAUGUGUUUUGCCUUGGAGGCUGCCCAUCUUGAGAUGGAUUCGGACGAGGAAGAGUGAUGUAUAGCCGGAUCUGGAUUUCAUCCAUCCAUCAUUUUUAAACUGUGUACACAUUUUAAGCACCAGAUUUUCCCUUCUGCUUCUUCUUCCAAUGUUUGUCAACGAGGAUGGAAAGCUGAGCUGGACAGGAAAUCAUCCUUCCCAUCAGGCCGAGGAAGAGCGGGGAGUGUCCCGACUGCAGAAAGAAGGCAUUGUCCCAUGCUGGGUUCUCAUGACCUGACGGCGUGACUUUUGCCUUCAUCUUGGAACCCCAACUUGGACAGAAACAUUUGGGAAUCUGGCCGAGAAGAAGGGCCCCUCCGGAGGAGAGAAGCCCCCGCGUCUUCCCUGGGGCUUGGCUCGCUUGCUUCGGUGCAAAGCUGGGAUUCGGACUCGGGUCGGCGCCUGGGAAGGAGAAGAAGGGCUGUCGGGAGAGGCAAGGAGCCAUCCUCCGAGGAGGAGAAGGGCUGGCUGGAAGGAGAAGGAUCCAGGUCUUGGACUCUAUAAAAAGGAGAAGAAGGGCUUGCUGGAAGGAGAAGGAUCCUGCCCCUGACCUGCCCAUAAAAGGGGAAGAGAAGGCUGUUUGGAGAGAGGGAGACCCGGACUCUGGGCUCCCCAUAAAAAGGGAAAGAAGGGCUUUCUGGAGAGAGAAGGAUCCAGGUCUUGGACUCUAUAAAAAGGAGAAGAAGGGCUUUCUAGAAGGAGAAGGAUCCAGAU